UGUACAUUUCUCUUUUCACUCAGGAAAUAUGUCCAAUAUGUGGACAAAACUUUCCCAAGAGGACAUACAAUUCCAUGCAAGCUUUUGCGGAGAUGGGUACUAAAUAAAUUUGCCUUCAGCAUGUCUUAUAUUUCAUUAAUUCAAUGUUUUUUACAGUUUUAAUUAUGGUACAGCUGAUUUUCUCAUGGUUUAUUUAAUUGUUUCAAAUUUCAGCAAACAGCAGUCCGUUUCAUGAAGAUGUUGCUGGAGAAGGGACUUCUGGAAUAAAUAAUCUCUUGCAGCAAGGGUCCAGGCAUACAGUGCCACAAAGCACCACUUCCACUGUUGCAGUCAAUCCUGACGAACCAGAAUGGAAGGAAAUAUUCAAUGCUUCAAGUGCAGCAACACUGUUUCGAAGACGUUUGUUGAGAGAGCAAGUGCUGGAGAAACCUAUUCGCUUCUCAAUGGACAUAGAAUCAGGUGUUGAAGACAGAAAAAGCAGAGAAAUACUCGUCAUGCAGGUAAUGCUGAUGUGACAAUGCUUUUUGAGGGGCAAAAGGAUGACCUCAUCCCCUGCGCAUCACAGCCACUAUUGGACUCUGACCUCUUUAGGAUGGCAGGCAGACUGGUGGGGCAUUCUUUCAUUCACGUGGCCCAGGUUUGGCAGGCAUCAGUCCUGCUGUUGUCCAUGUGCUCCUAGGAGGGCAAUUGGAGACAGCAACAUUGGUCCUGGAGGAUUGCCCUGAUCUUGAUCAGAGGAACACUAUCCACUUGCUGGAAGGCAUCAAGGAGCUAUCUGAGGACCAGAAGGCUGAUGUCAAUAGCCUGACAGACAUGUGGGAACUGCCACGACUGACUGAUAACAGAUGAUAUCUUCAUCGGCAGCUUUUGCAGCAUGCGGUAAUGAAAGAGUUUGUUGAAAUUGAUGCUUUUUAACAUACAGUAACUCAAUACUUGGCUGGUUCUGAAUCUGUCAUUUUAUAUUUAUUUAUUUAAUAAAAGGAUCAAAUAUGCUAAAUAUUUUGACUAAAACAUUAUCACAAAAGUGAAAAAAGUUAAAUUUCAUUCAAUUCAGAUCUUACCUUUGUGCAAAUAUUCAGUGUUCCAAUCAAUGGACUGCUGUGUCUAGCUCGACCUUUUUGAGACGUCUAGUUACCCCCACUGAAAGGGUGACGUAAGCCUUCCACUGAGCGUAUUGAUGCUGCUUGCAUGUAUUUAUUUUGAAAAGUCACUACAGUCCGUGAUUUGUAACUUUGGGAACAGACAGGAGCCCAGGACAGCAUUCUAAAGUAAGACCACUGAUUUAUUGUGAAUUAAUCAUUAGCUACAACCCACAAUAUUGAUUUUUCUUCACAUUCUCAGUUAUUGUUUAAUUUGUUAUGUGAAAUGUAUGUAUAUUUGUGUGCAUGUGUGUUACGAUUGUUGCAGAUUCUGGGAAGAACUUCUUCUCAGAGAAAACAAAUGAGAAAGGGCCUAAAAGAAACUGGAGUGUGGCAGAUAUUAUCCGAAAGAAGAGAUGUGGCUGAAGCUGUCUUCCCAUCUGGGAAAGAAGUGAUCUGCAGCCCCCAGGAACAAUACCAAACAAUAUACUUAACUGUCCCCAUGGGGAAACUUGUUUUGGACUCAAAUGCUGUACACAAAUGGCUGCCUCCAUAGUAGUAUAAAAUAAAAUUUAAGCUAAGCAGCAUAUACUUUCAAAUCACAAGCACAAAUUACACAUUGUACAACUAGUGAUAAGAAUGUGCCGCGUUCUUGAAGAAAGUAGUCCAAUCCGGAUCGCUUUUAACUCACUUUAUCUGUUAAAGUAUUUCGGUAUGGUAACUAUGAAGCAAAAGGAGGGGAAUUUUAUCUAACACGCGUGCGAGCGACAACCAGCAGAACUUUAACUCAAGUAUGGCCGGCCGGAUGUUUCUGAACUCAAAUCUCACUGUUUCGCUAGUUAGGUUCAAGUGGGCGUGGCCGGCGUGACAUAAUGGCUACGCCUUCCUCACCUGUCAAAAGGUGCUGCCAUCUGUUGCUGGAGUAGUUAUUGCAGCCUAUGUGUACGAUCCUGCUUCCUAGUGGCUAUGUGGGGGUAAUACAGCUUGUGUGUUCGAUCCUG